GCCUGGGUGGCUCAGUCGGUUAAGCGUCCGACUUCGGUUCAGGUCAUGAUCUCACAGUCCGUGGGUUCGAGCCCCGCUUCGGGCU
rnacentral:tRNA from 1 species